rnacentral:rRNA from 1 species
AUUGAACGCUGGCGGCAGGCUUAACACAUGCCAGUCGAGCGAGCGGCGGACGGGUGAGUAAUUUCUGGGAAACUGCCUGAUGGAGGGGGAUAACUACUGGAAACGGUAGCUAAUACCGCAUACCAUCAGAUGUGCCCAGAUGGGAUUAGCUUGUAGGGGGGGUAAUGGCUCACCUAGGCGACGAUCCCUAGCUGGUCUGAGAGGAUGACCAGCCACACUGGAACUGGGACACGGGCCAGACUCCUACGGGAGGGAGCAGUGGGGAAUAUUGCACAAUGGGGGCAAGCCUGAUGCAGCCAUGCCGCGUGGGUGAAGAAGGCCUUCGGGUUGUAAAGCACUUUCAGCGAGGAGGAGGUAAUCGCAGAAGAAGCACCGGCUAACUCCGUGCCAGCAGCCGCGGUAAUUC